CACGUAGGCGGGUCGUUAAGUCAGGGGUGAAAUCCCGGAGCUCAACUCCGGAACUGCCUUUGAUACUGGCGACCUUGAGGCCGGAAGAGGUUAGUGGAAUUCCCAGUGUAGAGGUGAAAUUCGUAGAUAUUGGGAAGAACACCAGUGGCGAAGGCGGCUAACUGGUCCGGAUCUGACGCUGAGGUGCGAAAGCGUGGGGAGCAAACA
rnacentral:rRNA from 1 species